UCGUUUCCCCCAAACCCGAAGCCGAUCUCCUCCGCCUCACAUCCCGCCCGAAACCCCUCCCUCUUCGGCGAUUUCUCUCCUUGCGACGCUGAGUGCGCCACCGUCCGUCGGUGUAACCCCGACCGAGCCUCCUCUCCCUCUUCCUCCCGAAGCGUGGAGUCUCUUGUCCUCUCAUCUCCCGAUCUUUUCUUUGCCUCUUCGCAUCGAUGCCCUUCUCAUGCGAUCACACCCGAUCGCCGAUUGGUGUUCCGUUGACCCGCCGAGAGCUUGCACCGGUCGAUCGUCGAUGCCACCAUCACCGUGGGAUGGAGGGAGUUGCCGGCCUCUUCAUCGCCACUUCACUCCACCUCUCUGUGCAGAUUCGGAGCGACGCCCUAGGGUUGGUUUCGUCCGACCGUUACUCCCUUCGAGUCAUUGCUCCGGGUGGGUAGAUCUCCGGCCAAGAAGGGAGCUCCUAGCCAUAGCCUUGGCCUCCCUGUUGCUGCACGUCUGCACAGGGUGAAGAUUUUGGUCGGAAUCCCCUAAAUCGCAGCCAUUAGAGGAGUUUCUUGGUUCACAAAGGGUACGAUUGGUAGCGGAAUCCAUAGCUGAGGAAAUUGGGUGUUCUACCAGAUUCCCGGCCAAAAUUGUCCAAUGGGUGGCUGCUAGAAUGGUGGGGGGAUUGUUAGAGAAGCUUGGCUAUAGGAUAUAGGAUGCUUGAUUUGCUGUGGUGAUCUUUCUUCAGCUGAAGAUUGAAAGAAGAAGGUUAUUAAGGU